rnacentral:rRNA from 1 species
AGAGUUUGAUCAUGGCUCAGGAUGAACGCUAGCUACAGGCUUAACACAUGCAAGUCGAGGGGCAGCAUGUUGGUUGCUUGCAGCCAACGAUGGCGACCGGCGCACGGGUGAGUAACGCGUAUCCAACCUACCCUUGUCCAUCGGAUAACCCGUCGAAAGGCGGCCUAACACGAUAUGCGGUUCACAGCAGGCAUCUAACGUGAACGAAUGUAAAGGAGAAGGAUGGGGAUGCGUCUGAUUAGCUUGUUGGCGGGGUAACGGCCACCAAGGCGACGAUCAGUAGGGGUUCUGAGAGGAAGGUCCCCCCANAUUGGAACUGAGACACGGUCCAAACUCCUACGGGAGCA